GAGAGUUUGAUCCUGGCUCAGGGCGAACGCUGGCGGCGUGCUUAACACAUGCAAGUGGUGCGACGAACCAGGGCUUGCCCUGGGGCAAAGCCGCGAACGGGUGAGUAACACGUGAGUAACCUGCCCCGAUGACCGGGACAACCCGAGGAAACUCGGGCUAAUACCGGAUGUGGUGUUCACACGUAAGUGUGUCUACUAAAGGAAGCUUCGGCCUCCGCAUCGGGAGGGGCUCGCGGCCCAUUAGCUUGUUGGUGGGGUAACGGCCUACCAAGGCGACGAUGGGUAGCUGGUCUGAGAGGACGAUCAGCCACACUGGGACUGAGACACGGCCCAGACUCCUACGGGAGGCAGCAGUGGGGAAUCUUGCGCAAUGCGCGAAAGCGUGACGCAGCAACGCCGCGUGGGGGAAGACGGCCUUCGGGUUGUAAACCCCUUUCAGGAGGGACGAAGGCUCACCGGUGAAUAGCCGUGUGGGUUGACGGUACCCUUCGAGGAAGCCCCGGCUAACUACGUGCCAGCAGCCGCGGUAAUACGUAGGGGGCGAGCGUUGUCCGGAAUUAUUGGGCGUAAAGAGCGUGUAGGCGGUUCGGUAAGUCUGCCGUGAAAACCUGGGGCUCAACCCUGGGCGUGCGGUGGAUACUGCCGGGCUAGAGGAUGGUAGAGGCGAGUGGAAUUCCCGGUGUAGCGGUGAAAUGCGCAGAUAUCGGGAGGAACACCAGUAGCGAAGGCGGCUCGCUGGGCCAUUCCUGACGCUGAGACGCGAAAGCAUGGGGAGCGAACAGGAUUAGAUACCCUGGUAGUCCAUGCCGUAAACGAUGAACACUAGGUGUGGGGGGGAGUCGAAUCCCCCUGUGCCGAAGCCAACGCGUUAAGUGUUCCGCCUGGGGAGUACGGCCGCAAGGCUAAAACUCAAAAGAAUUGACGGGGGCCCGCACAAGCAGCGGAACAUGUUCUUUAAUUCGAUGCAACGCGAAGAACCUUACCUGGGGCUUGACAUGGUGCUGCAAGCGCACGGAAACCUGUGGACCUUUCCAGGGUGCACCACAGAAGCCUGCAUGGGCUGGCCUUCCGUUCCCGGGCCCUGGAAAUGUUGGGGUUAAAUCCCCGCACCCAACGCACACCCCCUGGGGGGGGGUGGCCCCACUUAAAGUUGGGGGGACUCCACCACAAAAUGGCCGGGGAACAACCCCCGGAAAAAAGUGGGGGGAUAAACCUCCAAGUCCUUCCCGGGGCUUCUACCCCUCAGGGGUGAAAAAACGUCGCCACAAGGGCGGUGAUUACAAAGAGUGGUUCAACACCCCGGCGGGGGGGGGGGGACACUCUUUCCGAA
rnacentral:rRNA from 1 species